GGAGGCUGCAUGUUAAUUGUACUUCAUCAGGUGCUCUGGUGAUUUUGAUACCCGGUGCCUGUUGGAGCGCAAUUCAUAUGAUUGUGCC
rnacentral:pre_miRNA from 2 species